rnacentral:rRNA from 1 species
GACGAACGCUGGCGGCGUGCUUAACACAUGCAAGUCGAACGGAAAGGCCCUGCUUUUGUGGGGUGCUCGAGUGGCGAACGGGUGAGUAACACGUGAGUAACCUGCCCUUGACUUUGGGAUAACUUCAGGAAACUGGGGCUAAUACCGGAUAGGAGCUCCUGCUGCAUGGUGGGGGUUGGAAAGUUUCGGCGGUUGGGGAACGACGCGCGGCAUCUCAGCUUGUUGGUGGGGUAGUGGCUUACCAAGGCUUCGACGGGUAGCCGGCCUGGGAGGGUGACCGGGCACAGUGGGAUAGGGGAGACGGCCGUAGGCAAUCGGGAGGGAGGAGUGGGGGAUUGUGGAAAAAGGGCCGAAGGCUGAUGCAGCAACGCCGCGUGCGGGAUGACGGCCUUCGGGUUGUAAACCGCUUUCGCCUGUGACGAAGCGAGAGUGACGGUAAUGGGUAAAGAAGCACCGGCUAACUACGUG